AAACCAAUGAGGAUAGAAGAAGAAGUGGAGAGACGAAUAAAUAUAAGCUGGAAUAAAUACUGGACACAAAAGGAGAUAAUGAAAGGGAAAUAUCCACUAAACCUAAAAAGAACAGUUAUAGACACAUGUAUACUCCCCUGCCUCACCUAUGCCAGUCAAACGUGGGUUUUCACUAAGAAUAUUAAAAAUAAAGUCGUAACAUGCCAAAGGGCAAUGGAAAGAAGUAUUCUAAAUUUACGGAAAAUACAGAAGGUAAAAAGUGAAGAAAUAAGAAGAAAGACAAAAUUAACGGACGCUCUAACACACGCUCUAAAGCUAAAAUGGAAGUGGGCAGGACAUGUCUCGAGAAUAACGGAUGACCGAUGGACUUUACAAACAACUAUAUGGCCAGGGCCAAAAGGCAAGAGGAAAGUAGGUAGACCAAAAUCGAGAUGGUCUAACGAUAUAGUACAGAUAGCAGGGAAGAAUUGGCUUAAAACAGCAAAAAACAGAGAGAAAUGGCGCGAACUGGAGGAGGCCUAUACCCAAUGAGGGGCCCUUAUCAAAACAGAAUUAUAAAUACAAUUAUAUAUAAGUAAAUAUGUAAAAAAUAAAUUUGUAAAUAACUACUAAUUUACUAACACAUAAAUAAACAUAACUUACACACAUAAAUACACACGCAUACUUUUAUACAAUACGCUUAUACGCUUACACAACACACACUCACACACACACACACACACACACACACACACACACACAACGAUUAACAUACUAACAAAUAAAAUAGAAUAGACAUUAGAAUAGAUUAAAUUAGUUACUAUAAACAUAAACUAUGUAAAUACUUGUAAUUGAUAAGGAAAAUAAAGGC